ACCUGGGUGGCUCAGUUGGUUGAGCAUCUGACUCUUGAUUUCUGCUCAGGUCAUGAUCCCAGGGCCGUGGGAUCAAACCCCACAUCAGGCU
rnacentral:tRNA from 1 species